rnacentral:lncRNA from 1 species
AUUGGUUUCCUGCACAGCACCCGCUGAAGGCAGGCCCUUCCGGCUACCCCGAGAAAAGGGGAAUCUGGCAGGCGAGUGCGGCGCAGCUGGCCAGUCCCUGUCGCCCGCCUGGCAGUACAGAGACCUUUUUUUUAAAUUAUUUUUUAAAUUUCGACUUUGAUAAACUCUAAGUAGCCACGCUAUUUUAAUGUCAGCCGUUUUACUUUGACCUUAUUCCUUGUAUCCAGCCCCAUAAUUGGUCAGAAUCGUCUAGUGAGCUGGUAGUUUCCUCUUGCAACAUUCCGAAUCACUGGUAGUUUCCACCUAUUUGUAAAAGCCCGAGCAAGUUUCAAAAGUGCAGUAUUACUCACUACUUAAAAAAAAAGUCCAGAAGAUGUGAGCAAAAGCAUGCAAGAGUGCAGCUCCAUUAGAGGGAACUGGAAAUGCAAAGGACGACGUUUCACCACAACCACCGCCUUCCAGGCUCAAGCGAUUCUCCUGCCUCAGCCUCUCCAGUAGCUGGGAUUACAGGCAUGCGCCACCACGCGCGGCUAAUUUUGUAUUUUUAGUAGAGACGGGGUGUCUCCAUGUCGGUCAGGCUGGUCUCCCACUCCUGACCUCAGGUGAUCCGCCCACCUCGGCCUGCCAAAGUACCGCGAUUACAGGCGUGAGCCGCCGCGCCG